AACGAACGCUGGCGGCAGGCUUAACACAUGCAAGUCGAGCGCGUGAGCAAUCACGAGCGGCAGACGGGUGAGUAACGCGUGGGAAUCUACCCAUCUCUACGGAAUAACUCAGGGAAACUUGUGCUAAUACCGUAUACGCCCUUUGGGGAAAGAUUUAUCGGAGAUGGAUGAGCCCGCGUUGGAUUAGCUAGUUGGUGGGG
rnacentral:rRNA from 1 species